UCGGGAAUUUUGGGCAAUGGGCGAAAGCCUGACCCAGCAACGCCGCGUGAAGGAUGAAAUCCCUCGGGAUGUAAACUUCGCAAGAAUGGGAAGAAUAAGCAGGGAUCAAUACCCCCUGUGAUGACGGUACCAUUUGUAAGCUCCGGCUAACUCCGCGCCAGCAGCCGCGGUAAUACGGGGGGAGCAAGCGUUGUUCGGAUUUACUGGGCGUAAAGGGCGCGUAGGCGGUCACUACAAGUCAGUUGUGAAAUCUCCGGGCUUAACUCGGAACGGUCAACUGAUACUGUCGGACUAGAGUGCAGAAGGGGCAACUGGAAUUCUCGGUGUAGCGGUGAAAUGCGUAGAUAUCGAGAGGAACACCUGCGGCGAAGGCGGGUUGCUGGGCUGACACUGACGCUGAGGCGCGAAAGCUAGGGGAGCGAACGGGAUUAGAUACCCCGGUAGUCCUAGCCUUAAACGAUGAAUGCUUGGUGUCUCGGGUUACAUAGUCCCGAGGUGCCGUCGCUAACGCAUUAAGCAUUCC
rnacentral:rRNA from 1 species